AAAAACCCAAACAACCCCAACUGAUUUAUUUUAAGAUAAGUUAGAUAAGGUAGAAACAUAAUUGUUGAAAAAUGGAUCCCGGAAUGCUUCAUUAAGUUCAGACAAAUUUUUUCCAGGAUGUGGGAAGAUCUCUAACUUCAUUGCUGAUAGCUAUCAAUGUAAGCAUUGGAAUGCAGUUCCUCCAAGUCUGUAGUAGUCCAAAGAUAUGCUGCUUGUAUUUGAAAGAGUGAGUUACUUGCACAUGAAAAUUCAAAGCUUAAAUUGAUGAAGAUUCAGCACCAAAGAGCUUGAAAUU
rnacentral:lncRNA from 1 species